rnacentral:rRNA from 1 species
CCCGAAACCGGGCGACCUACCCAUGAGCAGGAUGAAGCGAAAGUAAAAUUUCGUGGAGGUCCGAACCCACGAGCGUUGAAAAGCUCGGGGAUGACUUGUGGGUAGCGGGGAAAUUCCAAUCGAGCCCGGAGAUAGCUGGUUCUCCCCGAAAUAGCUUUAGGGCUAGCCUCAAGGGGAGAGAUACGGAGGUAGAGCACUGAAUGUCCUAGGGGGUAUUGCACCUACC